rnacentral:rRNA from 1 species
UACGUAGGGGGCUAGCGUUGUCCGGAAUCAUUGGGCGUAAAGAGCGUGUAGGCGGUCCGGUAAGUCCGCUGUGAAAGUCGGGGGCUCAACCCUCGAAUGCCGGUGGAUACUGUCGGGCUAGAGUCCGGAAGAGGCGAGUGGAAUUCCUGGUGUAGCGGUGGAAUGCGCAGAUAUCAGGAGGAACACCAAUAGCGAAGGCAGCUCGCUGGGACGGUACUGACGCCUGAGGUGCGAAAGCGUGGGGAGCAAACAGGUAGAAACCCCGUAUCC